rnacentral:rRNA from 1 species
AGCGAACGCUGGCGGCAGGCCUAACACAUGCAAGUCGAACGAAGUCUUCGGACUUAGUGGCGGACGGUUGAGUAACACGUGGGAACGUGCCCUUUGGUACGGAAUAACUCAGGGAAACUUUAGCUAAUACCGUAUGUGCCCUUCGGGGGAAAGAUUUAUCGCCAUUGGAGCUGCCCGCGUCUUAUUAGCUAGUUUGUGAGGUAAAGGCUCACCAAGGCGACGAUCAGUAGCUGGUCUGAGAGGAUGAUCCGCCACAUUGGGACUGAGACACGGCCCAAACUCCUACGGGAGGCAGCAGUGGGGAAUCUUGCGCAAUGGGCGAAAGCCUGACGCGGCCAUGCCGCGUGAAUGAUGAAGGUCUUAGGAUUGUAAAAUUCUUUCACCGGGGAAGAUAAUGACGGUACCCGGAGAAGAAGCCCCGGCUAACUUCGUGCCAGCCGCCGCCGUAACAC